rnacentral:rRNA from 1 species
GGCCAGGACGAACGCUGGCGGCGUGCUUAACACAUGCAAGUCGAACGAAGCGCUUAAAUGGAUUUCUUCGGAUUGAAGUUUUUGCGACUGAGUGGCGGACGGGUGAGUAACGCGUGGGUAACCUGCCUCGUACAGGGGGAUAACAGUUAGAAAUGACUGCUAAUACCGCAUAAGCGCACAGUGCUGCAUGGCACAGUGUGAAAAACUCCGGUGGUAUGAGGUGGACCCGCGUCUGAUUAGCUAGUUGGUGGGGUAACGGCCUACCAAGGCGACGAUCAGUAGCCGGCCUGAGAGGGUGAACGGCCACAUUGGGACUGAGACACGGCCCAAACUCCUACGGGAGGCAGCAGUAGG